CACGUAGGGCGCGAGCGUUGUCCGGAAUUAUUGGGCGUAAAGAGCUCGUAGGCGGCCUGUUGCGUCCGUUCUGAAAGCCCGGGGCUCAACCCCGGGAGGCGGAUGGAUACUGCAAGGCUCGAGUCCGGAAGAGGCAAGUGGAAUUCCUGGUGUAGCGGUGAAAUGCGCAGAUAUCAGGAAGAACACCAAUGGCGAAGGCAGCUCUCUGGGACGGUACUGACACUGAGACGCGAAAGCGUGGGGAGCGAACAGG
rnacentral:rRNA from 1 species